UACGUAGGGUGCAAGCGUUGUCCGGAAUUAUUGGGCGUAAAGAGCUCGUAGGCGGUCUGUCGCGUCGGCUGUGAAAACCGGAGGCUCAACCUCCGGCCUGCAGUCGAUACGGGCAGACUAGAGUUCGGUAGGGGAGACUGGAAUUCCUGGUGUAGCGGUGAAAUGCGCAGAUAUCAGGAGGAACACCGGUGGCGAAGGCGGGUCUCUGGGCCGAAACUGACGCUGAGGAGCGAAAGCGUGGGGAGCGAACAGG
rnacentral:rRNA from 1 species